rnacentral:rRNA from 1 species
UACGAAGGGGGCUAGCGUUGCUCGGAAUCACUGGGCGUAAAGCGCACGUAGGCGGAUUGUUAAGUCAGGGGUGAAAUCCUGGAGCUCAACUCCAGAACUGCCUUUGAUACUGGCGAUCUUGAGUCCGGGAGAGGUGAGUGGAACUGCGAGUGUAGAGGUGAAAUUCGUAGAUAUUCGCAAGAACACCAGUGGCGAAGGCGGCUCACUGGCCCGGUACUGACGCUGAGGCACGAAGGCCAGGGGAGCAAACGGG